AGUCGAGCGGACAGAGGGAGCUUGCUCCCGGAUGUUAGCGGCGGACGGGUGAGUAACACGUGGGUAACCUGCCUGUAAGACUGGGAUAACUCCGGGAAACCGGAGCUAAUACCGGAUAGUUCCUUGAACCGCAUGGUUCAAGGAUGAAAGACGGUUUCGGCUGUCACUUACAGAUGGACCCGCGGCGCAUUAGCUAGUUGGUGGGGUAAUGGCUCACCAAGGCGACGAUGCGUAGCCGACCUGAGAGGGUGAUCGGCCACACUGGGACUGAGACACGGCCCAGACUCCUACGGGAGGCAGCAGUAGGGAAUCUUCCGCAAUGGACGAAAGUCUGACGGAGCAACGCCGCGUGAGUGAUGAAGGUUUUCGGAUCGUAAAGCUCUGUUGUUAGGGAAGAACAAGUGCGAGAGUAACUGCUCGCACCUUGACGGUACCUAACCAGAAAGCCACGGCUAACUACGUGCCAGCAGCCGCGGUAAUACGUAGGUGGCAAGCGUUGUCCGGAAUUAUUGGGCGUAAAGGGCUCGCAGGCGGUUUCUUAAGUCUGAUGUGAAAGCCCCCGGCUCAACCGGGGAGGGUCAUUGGAAACUGGGAAACUUGAGUGCAGAAGAGGAGAGUGGAAUUCCACGUGUAGCGGUGAAAUGCGUAGAGAUGUGGAGGAACACCAGUGGCGAAGGCGACUCUCUGGUCUGUAACUGACGCUGAGGAGCGAAAGCGUGGGGAGCGAACAGGAUUAGAUACCCUGGUAGUCCACGCCGUAAACGAUGAGUGCUAAGUGUUAGGGGGGUUUCCGCCCCUUAGUGCUGCAGCUAACGCAUUAAGCACUCCGCCUGGGGGAGUACGGUCGCAAGACUGAAACUCAAAGGAAUUGACGGGGGCCCGCACAAGCGGUGGAGCAUGUGGUUUAAUUUCGAAGCAACGCGAAAGACCUUACCAGGGUCUUGACAUCCUCUGACAACCCUAGAGAUAGGGCUUU
rnacentral:rRNA from 1 species